CGGUAAUUCCAGCUCCAAUAGCGUAUACUAAAGUUGUUGCAGUUAAAAAGCUCGUAGUUGGAUUUCUGCGGGGACGGAGCGGCCGGUCGCAACUUGCGACUCGAGCUAGCGCUUUCCCCGCAUCCUGCCGCGAACCGUGCUACCAUUAGUUUGGUGGCGCUGGGGAUCGGCUCGAUUACUUUGAGAAAAAUAGAGUGUUCAAAGCAGGCCACACGCCUUGAAUAAGUUAGCAUGGAAUAAUGACUAAGGACUUCGGUUCUAUUUUGUUGGUGUUCGGGACUGAAGUAAUGAUUGAUAGGGACAGUUGGGGCGGUCUGUAUUCCAAAGCGAGAGGUGAAAUUCUUAGACCUUCGGAAGGCAAACAGCUGCGAAAGCGUUCCGCAAGGAUGUUCCCUUUGAUCAAGAACGAAAGUUGGGGGAUCGAAGACGAUCAGAUACCGUCGUAGUCUCAACUAUAAACUAUACCAGCUAGGGAUCGGUCAACGUUUAAUUAUUCGACUUGAUCGGCACCUUAUGAGAAAUCAAAGCAUCUGGGUUCCGGGGGGAGUAUGGUCGCAAGGCUGAAACUUAAAGGAAUUGACGGAAGGGCACCACCAGCCGUGGAGCCUGUGGCUUAAUUUGACUCAACACGGGAAAACUUACCAGGUCCAGACAUAGUAAGGAUUGACAGAUUGAUAGCUCUUUCUUGAUUCUGUGGGUGGUGGUGCAUGGCCGUUCUUAGUUGGUGGAGUGAUUUGUUUGGUUAAUUCCGUUAACGAACGAGACCCCAGCCUGCUAAAUAGCGCGGCUGAGCUUUGCUCGGUGCGAGCUUCUUAGAGGGACUAUGAUGCGCGAUAGCACAUGGAAGUUUGGGGCAAUAACAGGUCUGUGAUGCCCUUAGAUGUUCUGGGCCGCACACGGGCUACACUGGCGCCUGCAACGAGCAUACCAGCUGGCCCGAGAGGGUCUUGGCUAAUCUUUUGAACCGGCGCCGUGCUUGGGAUUGACCUUUGCAAUUGUUGGUCAUGCAACGAGGAAUGCCUUGUAAACGCGAGUCAUCAGCUCGCAUUGAAUACGUCCCUGCUCCUUGUACACACCGCCC
rnacentral:rRNA from 1 species